GUCAUUUCCUUCAUAAACAAGUCCUACUUCCUCUCGAGGGUCCAUAUCAGCUGAGCUUAUCCUGUGAGUGCCCCAGUGGGAAUUGAGUUCAUUUCAGAGUGUCCUUCCCUCCCACACGGAGUGUGGGAGUGGUGAGGUCUGGGAGAUCACGACCUUAAUUCUCUCCAAGACAGACGGUUUAAUUAACACUGGAGGAAUCCUCACUGGCUCCAGACCUCUACAAUGGGAAUGUGCACGGGAAUUGGAUUGCCAAGUGCAGACAGGUUAGACAUCAACUUUCAGCCAUGAGGUGACUGA
rnacentral:lncRNA from 1 species